AUGUUCUACAGUGCAGCUUUAAUGAUUGAAUUUAACAUUUGUAUAGUGCAACUUUGUAGAGCAUAUUUCCUGGCGCUUUUGUUUAGGCUAAUUACCAAAAAUCUUCCAACACUGAUUUAUAAGGUAGAUGUGGGAAAGGUUUGUUCACUUAUUUCUUUAUAUGAUUUUAUUGUCUUGAAAGGUCCUUCCAGUCAAUUCUAUGUGGAUGCUUCCUGGUCCGACAAGUUUCAGUCGCAGCACUUGUUGCCGUUUGAAGUGGACAGAUCCAUUUUAUGUUGUAUCUGGUAAAUGAGUCUUUAUGGGCAUCAGUUUAAGUCCUGAGUCCUUUUCCACGCAUUGCCCAAGGUCCUGCUCAGAGUGUCAGCUGUGAGCGGUGUUGGUAAGCUGCACUGUCCCUGUGAUGUGGGCCACGAAGCACCUCAGCAGGUAGAUCCCCCAGAAGUUCGCCGAGCUAUUUCACACACAAAUGAAAAACACGGCAGAACAUUUAGUAAAUUCUUAUCUACAAAAUAAACAUACCACUGUGCAUUGUAACAUAGGACUUUUACUACACGUAAUCUUUGAUCUCUCUAAAGACUGCCAUACAUUAAGCCACUGUCAUAAACGUGGUUCAAAGGGGCCAGGUUUGUAGUGUGGUUAAAAUGUAAGUCAGUGCAGGAACUACAAGAAAUAACAGAGCAGAAAUGAGGGGAAAUUGUUACAUUUGAUAUUAAGACAGUAAGACUUAAGCCUCUGUUAUCCCCUCCUCUGCUGCCCCCUAUUGAAUAAUGCUCAAUAUUGUUUCCUCUACAAACAAUGAAGAGAUGCAACACUGAUGUAUUAAUUUUAAGUCCAAGAAAUCGGACCAACUGGAUUGAAAAGCGUAAUUUUGCACCGUUAUGUGUAACCGCCCACUGUUGGCUCCUGUCACAUACUGUACAUGUAUGUGCCAAAAUUUUAUGUAAAGAUAAUGUUAACUCUGGUUUUGUUGCCCAUCUAUGGAUGAAUGUGUUAAGCUUUAUAUUGUGUAUCAUAAUGGCGAC
rnacentral:lncRNA from 1 species